ACCCAAAUAGCUCAGUUGGGACAGCGUUAGGCUAUAGAUCGAAGGGUCUCUAGUUCGAUCCCGGGGUUCGGCA
rnacentral:tRNA from 1 species